rnacentral:pre_miRNA from 1 species
UAAUGAGGGUAGUGAUGAUGAUGAUGAUGAUGAUGAUCUUCAUCGCUGUCAUCAUCAUGGUGAUCAUCAUCAUCAUUAUCAUCAUCAUCAUCAUCA